rnacentral:rRNA from 1 species
UACGGGGGGGGCAAGCGUUGUUCGGAAUUACUGGGCGUAAAGGGCUUGUAGGUGGCCAACUAAGUCAGACGUGAAAUCCCUCGGCUUAACCGGGGAACUGCGUCUGAUACUGGAUGGCUUGAGUGUGGGAGAGGGAUGCGGAAUUCCAGGUGUAGCGGUGAAAUGCGUAGAUAUCUGGAGGAACACCGGUGGCGAAGGCGGCGUUCUGGACUGCAACUGACACUGAAAAACGAAAGCCAGGGGAGCAAACGGG